rnacentral:rRNA from 1 species
UACGGGGGGGGCAAGCGUUGUUCGGAAUUACUGGGCGUAAAGAGCGUGUAGGCGGCCAGGUAGGUCUGCUGUGAAAUCCCGAGGCUCAACCUCGGGUCUGCAGUCGAUACGAGCAAACUAGAGUGUUGCAGGGGAGACUGGAAUUCCUGGUGUAGCGGUGAAAUGCGCAGAUAUCAGGAGGAACACCGGUGGCGAAGGCGGGUCUCUGGGCAACAACUGACGCUGAGGAGCGAAAGCGUGGGGAGCGAACAGG